CUCUGACCCUAUUGCUCCGUAGUAGCCAUGUGCUCGGUAAGAUGUUUGGGACCGUCAAAGUAGUUUGGAUAAAUCUGCAGCUGUUAACUUUGCAAAAGCGAGUGAUGCCAUAUUACAGGUGUGCCAACACCCUGUGUCCUAGCUGGUCACUGGCAUGGUCAGUUGGUGAUCCUGCCUGAAGGGAAGACCGAGCCAGAACCCUGGAAUGAGCAGUCUCUGCACCGCAGAGAGGAGUUGCUGGCACGGGGGGGACGGCAGAAGGCCCUUUGUGAAGUUCAAGGCAGUUGAGUUGAGAUUUCAGCAAGUUCCAGGAGGUUCAUUAAGAAAGCUUUUUUCCAUGAAAAUAACUGUGCAACUCGGAGGAGAGGGAACUGGACCAACUGCAUACCAUGCACACAUGGUAUGGAUCUCGAAGGUCUAAUAUCAAUUCUGGCCAUUUCUAUUUGUAAAAAGACAUUAUUAUUUAAUUCCAGGAACAAAAUCUUCCAUUGGUUGGAAACCUUGUAAUGAAAUAAAGCAGUCGUUUCAUUAUCAGUCAGUGCAUAGGGUCGGAU
ensembl:lncRNA